rnacentral:rRNA from 1 species
CCUACGGGAGGCAGCAGCUAAGAAUCUUCCGCAAUGGGCGCAAGCCUGACGGAGCGACGCCGCGUGGACGAUGAAGGCCGUAAGGUUGUAAAGUCCUUUUCUCUGUGAGGAAUGAGUGUGGGAGUGGAAAGCCCACAUGAUGACGGUAACGGAGGAAUAAGCACCGGCUAACUACGUGCCAGCAGCCGCGGUAAUACGUAGGGUGCGAGCGUUGUUCGGAGUUAUUGGGCGUAAAGGGCGUGUAGGCGGCUUGAGAAGUCUGGUUUGAAAUGCACUGGCUCAACUGGUGCGCUGGGUCAGAAACUGGCAGGCUUGAGUUCAUGGGGAGGAGCUGGAAUUCCAGGUGUAGGGGUGAAAUCUGUAGAGAUCUGGAAGAACACCGGUAGCGAAGGCGGGCUCCUAUGGAUGGACUGACGCUGAGGCGCGAAAGCGUGGGGAGCAAACAGGAUUAGAUACCCUGGUAGUCCACGCUGUAAACGAUGUGCACUAGGUAUGGGGUACGAGAUGUAUUCCGUGUCGGAGCGAACGCGUUAAGUGCACCGCCUGGGGAGUAUGCUCGCAAGGGUGAAACUCAAAGGAAUGACG